AAGUCGUAACAAGGUCUCCGUAGGUGAACCUGCGGAGGGAUCAUUACCGAGAGAGCGGCGCCUCGCGCGCCCGACCUCCCAACCCUCUGUCGAUCGAUACCUGUUGCCUCGGGGGCGACCCGGACGUCGCGCCCAGAGGACAGUCCAAUCGAACACACUGCAGUCUCAUGCGUCGGAGUCAUUGAAAACAAUCAAUCAAAACUUUCAACAACGGAUCUCUUGGUUCUGGCAUCGAUGCAAGAACGCAGCGAAAUGCGAUAAGUAAUGUGAAUUGCAGAAUUCAGUGAAUCAUCGAAUCUUUGAACGCACAUUGCGCCCCUUUGGCAUUCCGAAGGGCAUGCCCGUUCGAGCGUCAUUACACCACUCGAGCCUGGCUUGGUAUUGGGCGUCGGGAUGCACCCCGCGCCUCUAAUGUUUGUUCGGCUGGACGGUUCGAAUCUCAGCGUUGUGCAAUUCAUCAGCUGAUCGGACCUGACUGAGACGCCGGCCGUGAAAUCCCCACCACAGGUUGACCUCGGAUCGGGUAGGGAUACCCGCUGAACUUAA
rnacentral:rRNA from 1 species